AAGGUGCGUCGACAGUGUGGGGGAGUCUCUUUUUUUUUGCUCUCUUUCCUUCUCUUUACGGGGGGGGUUAGGGGGUGUGGGAAGAAGAAGCCCCUUACUGUUCGGCCAUUCUGAAAA
rnacentral:rRNA from 1 species